rnacentral:tRNA from 1 species
GCAGAUGUAGUUUAACUUAAAACGUUAGAUUGUGAUUCUAAAAAUGGACGUUGAAACCCCCCUAUUUGCC